AGAGUUUGAUCCUGGCUCAGAGUGAACGCUGGCGGCGUGCUUAACACAUGCAAGUCGAACGGUAACAGGAAGAGCUUGCUCUUUGCUGACGAGUGGCGCACGGGUGAGUAAUGUAUAGGUAACGUGCCCUAGAGUCUGGGAUAGCCACUGGAAACGGUGAUUAAUACCGGAUACUCCUCUUCGGAGGGAAAGGUUUUUCGCUCUAGGAUCGGCCUAUAUUGUAUCAGCUAGUUGGUGAGGUAAGGGCUCACCAAGGCGAUGACACAUAGCGGGUUUGAGAGGAUGAUCCGCCACACUGGUACUGAGACACGGACCAGACUCCUACGGGAGGCAGCAGUGAGGAAUAUUGCACAAUGGGGGAAACCCUGAUGCAGCAACGCCGCGUGGAGGAUGACGCAUUUCGGUGUGUAAACUCCUUUUAUCAGGGAAGAAGAUGACGGUACCUGAUGAAUAAGCGCCGGCUAACUCCGUGCCAGCAGCCGCGGUAAUACGGAGGGCGCAAGCGUUACUCGGAAUCACUGGGCGUAAAGGACGCGUAGGCGGCCCACUAAGUCAGGUGUGAAAUCCUACAGCUUAACUGUAGAACUGCACUUGAAACUGGUGGGCUAGAGUAUGGAAGGGGCAGAUGGAAUUAGUGGUGUAGGGGUAAAAUCCGUAGAUAUCACUAGGAAUACCGAAAGCGAAGGCGAUCUGCUGGGACAUAACUGACGCUGAGGCGUGAAAGCGUGGGGAGCAAACAGGAUUAGAUACCCUGGUAGUCCACGCCCUAAACGAUGAAUGCUAGUCGUCGGGGCUCUUGUAGUUCCGGUGAUGCGCCUAACGGAUUAAGCAUUCCGCCUGGGGAGUACGGUCGCAAGAUUAAAACUCAAAGGAAUAGACGGGGACCCGCACAAGUGGUGGAGCAUGUGGUUUAAUUCGAAGAUACACGAAGAACCUUACCUGGCCUUGACAUUGAUGGAAUCUGCUAGAGAUAGCGGAGUGCCAGUUUACUGGAGCCUG
rnacentral:rRNA from 1 species